GGAAGGAUCAUUAACACGUUAUCCACGUAUCAACCAAACGUGAACUUGAACCGUGUAUGUGCAGUUUUGCUGUUGAGAGGGAGUGUUUAAGAAGGGAUUCUUCGCUCUGCUUUCUUCGGUAAUAUAACUGUACAUAUCGUUGUCCCAAUUACCAAAUCACCCCUGAUGUGUCUUUUGCUCCUUUCAUUAGGAAAUGAAGCACAUUGGUUUUCUUCUAUUUCUUACUUGAAGAUCCAAGGCCUUUUUGGCUUUGUCUUCUAACACAAACGCUGUACAACUCUUAGCAACGGAUAUCUUGGGUUUCCGCACCGAUGAAGAACGCAGCAAACUGCGAUACGUCUUGCGAAUUGCAGAAUUCAGUGAAUCAUCAAAUCUUCGAACGCAUCUUGCACUGCUGGGUUCGCUCAGCAGUACGCCCUCUUCAGUGUCGCCUAGCAUCCAACUCAACGGCGUGCUUGCCUUGCUUAUGGUGGCGUUCGAGGUUGCAAACGAGCGACGUCUGGUUGCUUCUCUCGGGACCGGCCAUCAUAUUUUGGUGGGGAAUCACAUCACGUCGAAUUGGACAAUUGAGUGUUCACUGCGAUUUUAUGAAUUGCGGUGUCACUUUAAACUGAGAAAGACGCGUACGGAGAGUGGCUGUAGAAGCCCUUUCCGAGCGACGAUUGAUAACGUUACGACCUUGUUUACUCAGGGUCGUUACACCCUAAAUUCAAACGUUGUCUUGGGCUCAUAAAGGAUCUCUACGUGAAGGCCUCACUGUACAACUCUUUAUAUGAGUUGAACUCACUCCCUCGUACUUUUUGGGUAAAAAAGAGUAUGAGCGACCGCGCUUAGACCUGAGGUAGGACGAGAGCACCCGCUGAAUUUAAGCAUAUUAUUAAGCGGAGGAAAAGAAACUAACAAGGAUUCCCCUAGUAACGGCGAGUGAAGCGGGAAAAGCUCAACUUGAAAAUCGGGUGCCGUUAGGUACUCGAGUUGUAAUCUAAAGACGUGUGGCCAGCGUGUGACCCGGGUAUAACUCUUUUGGAACAAGGGAUCAUAGAGGGUGAGAAUCCCGUCUUUGACUCGGAGUUCGCCGCGUACGGUACACGUUCAAAGAGUCGAGUUGUUUGGGAUUGCAGCUCUAAAUGGGUGGUAAACUUCAUCUAAAGCUAAAUAUUGGCGGAAGACCGAUAGCGAACAAGUAGCGUGAGCGAAAGAUGAAAAGAACUUUGAAAAGAGAGUUAAAAAGUACUUGAAAUUGCUAAGAGGUAAGUUAUGGGAACCAGUCUUUCCUAGAGUUGUACUUACUAUUCGCUUGAGAACUGUGUUGCAGUUCAGAGCCCUCGGCCUGGAUUGUUUCACAGAACUCGUAGUGGGUGGGUCCUGCAGCUUUAGGAGUGUCAGGAUCAGUUUGGGUUAUCGGAGAAAGCUUGAUGGAAGGUGGGGAAUUAUGGGGUUCGCUUCAUAGUUCUCGUUAUAGCCGUCUUGAAAUACGUUAACCUGGACUGAGGAAACGAUAAGGUACCCCUUUAUUGGGAUUGGCACCUGGGCCUAUUUCGUUAUCUGGCUUGGACAGCAAAGCUGUGCGGUUGGAGAAGCGGGAUACUGUUCUGGGAUUCGCUAUUCGUACCUUCGCGAUCUUGACGAAAUGGUUCUCAUUGACCCGUCUUGAAACACGGACCAAGGAGUCUAACAUAUAUGCGAGUAUUUGGGUGCCAAACCCUGAUGCGUAAUGAAAGUGAAGGAGGACUUGUGCCUCUGAGGUGGGAACCGUCUUUCUAAACAAAAGGCGGGGCACUAUCGACCGAUCAAUCACUUGUGGUAGAUUUGAGUAAGAGCAUAUCUGUUGGGACCCGAAAGAUGGUGAUCUAUGCCUGAACAGGGUGAAGCCAGGGGAAACUCUGGUGGAAGCUCGUAGCGAUACUGACGUGCAAAUCGUUCGUCCUGAUUUGGGUAUAGGGGCGAAAGACUAAUCGAACCAUCUAGUAGCUGGUUCCCUC
rnacentral:misc_RNA from 1 species